UCUGAAGAGGCUGGCCAUGAAGUGAGGU
rnacentral:piRNA from 1 species